GACGAACGCUGGCGGCGUGCUUAACACAUGCAAGUCGAGCGGUAAGGCCCUUUCGGGGGUACACGAGCGGCGAACGGGUGAGUAACACGUGGGUGACCUGCCCUCAGCUCUGGGAUAAGCCUGGGAAACCGGGUCUAAUACUGGAUAUGACUCCAUGACGCAUGUUGUGGGGUGGAAAGCCUUGUGCGGCUGAGGAUGGGCCCGCGGCCUAUCAGCUUGUUGGUGGGGUGAGGCCUACCAAGGCGACGACGGGGUAGCCGGCCUGAGAGGGCGACCGGCCACACUGGGACUGAGACACGGCCCAGACUCCUACGGGAGGCAGCAGUGGGGAACCUUGCGCAAUGGGCGAAAGCCUGACGCAGCGACGCCGCGUGAGGGAUGACGGCCUGGU
rnacentral:rRNA from 1 species